UUUUAUUUGAGAGUUUGAUCCUGGCUCAGGAUGAACGCUGGCGGCGUGCCUAACACAUGCAAGUUGAGCGAUUUACUUCGGUAAAGAGCGGCGGACGGGUGAGUAACGCGUGGGUAACCUACCCUGUACACACGGAUAACAUACCGAAAGGUAUGCUAAUACGGGAUAAUAUAUUUGAGAGGCAUCUCUUGAAUAUCAAAGGUGAGCCAGUACAGGAUGGACCCGCGUCUGAUUAGCUAGUUGGUAAGGUAACGGCUUACCAAGGCGACGAUCAGUAGCCGACCUGAGAGGGUGAUCGGCCACAUUGGAACUGAGACACGGUCCAAACUCCUACGGGAGGCAGCAGUGGGGAAUAUUGCACAAUGGGCGAAAGCCUGAUGCAGCAACGCCGCGUGAGUGAUGAAGGCCUUCGGGUCGUAAAACUCUGUCCUCA
rnacentral:rRNA from 1 species